rnacentral:rRNA from 1 species
CCUACGGGUGGCAGCAGUGAGGAAUAUUGGUCAAUGGACGGAAGUCUGAACCAGCCAAGCAGCGUGAAGGAUGACUGCCCUAUGGGUUGUAAACUGCUUUUAUAUGGGGAUAAAAUGUUCCACGUGUAUGCUUUUGUAUGUACCAUAUGAAUAAGGAUCGGCUAACUCCGUGCCAGCAGCCGCGGUAAUACGGAGGAUCCGAGCGUUAUCCGGAUUUAUUGGGUUUAAAGGGUGCGUAGGUGGAUUGUUAAGUCAGUUGUGAAAGUUUGGGGCUUAACCGGAAAAUUGCAGUUGAAACUGGCAGUCUAGAGGACAGAAGAGGUGGGCGGAAUGUGUGGUGUAGCGGUGAAAUGCUUAGAGAUCACGAAGAACACCGAUUGCGAAGGCAGCUCACUGGACUGCAACUGACACUGAGGCUCGAAAGCGUGGGGAUCAAACAGGAUUAGAUACCCGUGUAGUC